GUGCUGUAACGCUGAAGCUAUCGUGCCUGUGUGGUAUGGGCGGAGUGUUCCAGCUGGUUUCCGGUGGCGCUCCACACCUGAGGCUCGUCUCCAUAAGCAUUAAAAGACCCGGCUUCUGUGAUCUCUGCUCGCAAAGACGCAUUUUAUCAGCCCUGUCUAGGGAACUUGGAGCUCGGUUUCCCCCAGCCUGCCCGCUCUCCGCCUCUAACUCACGCCACCCACCUCUGCAUUUCCUGAACCUGUUAAUAAACUGUCAUCGUGGAAACUAA